UACGUAGGCAGCAAGCGUUGUUCGGAGUUACUGGGCGUAAAGCGUGCGCAGGCGGUUAUGCAAGACAGAUGUGAAAUCCCCGGGCUCAACCUGGGAACUGCAUUUGUGACUGCAUGGCUAGAGUGCGGCAGAGGGGGAUGGAAUUCCGCGUGUAGCAGUGAAAUGCGUAGAUAUGCGGAGGAACACCGAUGGCGAAGGCAAUCCCCUGGGCCUGCACUGACGCUCAUGCACGAAAGCGUGGGGAGCAAACAGG
rnacentral:rRNA from 1 species